CACAAGUGUUCUUUCUGCUUUAGUUCAAGAAUGAAAUUUAUAACUCCAAGCUGGGCACAGUUUGAACACCACAAAUAGCAAUGAACCACACUAUGCUGAAUGGAGUAUGAAGAGAGGAGGCUGGUAAAUUGGACUUGAUGUCUCUCACCUUUACUCAUUACAGCCUUCUUGUUCAAGUUAGGAUCCAAACACAAAACUCUUGAAGCCAGCUGCCACUACCUGUCCACAGAGGCCACAGAAAACCUCUGAAGGUCAAUACCUUCAGAAACACAGUGCACAAAAUCAGAGGUGAAGGAGUGUAGGGGGAUGCCCCCAAUGAGAGAGGGGCAAACUAGCCUUUGUCCCCCAAAAAAGGAAGGAAGCCCAGAAGUUUCUCCCAGCGAUCAGGUGAAAAGCCACCUUAUAGAACCCCAGAGACUUCACUAAAACCUUGGGGUCACCUAAUUGGAUGGAAGCCAAAAGGUCCCGCCUGGGCCAUCAGGUAGAAAAAGAGAGAACAAAGAAACCACGAGGCUUUUGUGAACGUGUUUCUACCAGGCUCAGACCUCUGUACCUGGAUCGGAUUUUCUGUUUAUUGUUUUUCCUUUUAUUAAACCUUUCUGUUUCUAACACUGCAGCAGAAGCCAUCCUGCUCAUUAUUUGCCUCCAAAGGUAAUAGCUAAGCUAUCCUUGGGGUAUUAGGUUCCCUUUUAAGGGCUCAUAAAACCCUGGCCAGACAAAACAGAACCUAAUACAGAGGCAGUAUUCCAAGGCUUCCUUGGCAAUGCCAAGGCUUUACAGAAACAGGAAUGCUUAGCAUGUUCUGCAGUAGCUGGCUUAGGUACAGCCCACAAUACCUGCAUUUCUCAAAAGCUACCAAGCAGACAUGGCUGUUCUGGCAGGCAGGUGAGCAGCCAGCCUGGCCUGAUUCUAAACUGACAAGGUAACAGUGUGAGAAACCGCUGGGCAUCGCCUGCGAUGAGAAGGGAGGAGCUGGCUGGAAGCUGAUGCCACCAAGGCGGUAAACAUCAAUAAGGGGGUAAACCAGAAGGUGAAAUACACUGAAG